rnacentral:tRNA from 1 species
GCAGUCGUGGCCGAGUGGUUAAGGCGAUGGACUUGAAAUCCAUUUGGGGCUCCCCGCACAGGUUCGAAUUCUGUCGGCUGCG